rnacentral:rRNA from 1 species
GAACGCUAGCGGCAGGCUUAACACAUGCAAGUCGAACGGUAACAUUGGUGCUUGCACCAGAUGACGAGUGGCGCACGGGUGCGUAACGCGUAUGCAAUCUACCUUUUACUGAAGAAUAGCCCAGAGAAAUUUGGAAUAAUCCUUCAUAAUAUCAUUUAUCAGCAUUGAUUUAUGAUUAAAGCUCCGGCGGUAAAAGAUGAGCAUGCGUCCUAUUAGUUUGUUGGUGAGGUAACGGCUCACCAAGACUACGAUAGGUAGGGGCCCUGAGAGGGGGAUCCCCCACACUGGUACUGAGACACGGACCAGACUCCUACGGGAGGCAGCAGUGAGGAAUAUUGGACAAUGGAGGCAACUCUGAUCCAGCCAUGCCGCGUGCAGGAUGACUGCCCUAUGGGUUGUAAACUGCUUUUAUAUAGGAAGAAACACUCCCACGUGUGGGGGCUUGACGGUACUAUAUGAAUAAGGAUCGGCUAACUCCGUGCCAGCAGCCGCGGUAAUACGGAGGAUCCAAGCGUUAUCCGGAAUCAUUGGGUUUAAAGGGUCCGUAGGCGGUUUUUUAAGUCAGAGGUGAAAUCCUGCAGCUCAACUGUAGAAUUGCCUUUGAAACUGAAAGACUUGAGUUAUUGUGAAGUGGUUAGAAUGUGUGGUGUAGCGGUGAAAUGCUUAGAUAUCACACAGAAUACCCAUUGCGAAGGCAGAUCACUAACAAUAUACUGACGCUCAUGGACGAAAGCGUGGGGAGCGAACGGGAUUAGAUACCCCGGUAGUCCACGCCGUAAACGAUGGAUACUAACUGUUCGACCUUCGGGUUGAGUGGUCAAGCGAAAGUGAUAAGUAUCCCACCUGGGGAGUACGCUCGCAAGAGUGAAACUCAAAGGAAUUGACGGGGGCCC